rnacentral:rRNA from 1 species
GCUUACGGCCAUACCACCCUAAGCGCGCCCGAUCUCGUCUGAUCUCGGAAGCUAAGCAGGGUCGGGCCUGGUUAGUACUUGGAUCGGGAGACCGUCCUGGGAAUACCAAGUGCUGUAAGCU